AAGGAAUUAUCUCGCUCUCUUGAAACUAGCAGUACCUCCUCAUCAGUAAUGCUUGUAAAUUGUGGAGAAGUAGAUAGGAAGAGACUUUGUCUGCUUGUUAAACUCCACCUCCUUUUCUUUUGCAGUGAAAACAGCAGCACUUGAGUUGUUAUUUCAGAAGGCUAAAUGGGGCAGGAAAAAGGAGAAAAUAGGAGAUAUGGCUGAUGGGGGGAGGUGAAGUGUCUUUCCACAGCUACUUCUGGAGCCUUUCUUGGUCCACUGUGUCUACACCUCCAGUCAACGCUCUCCUUUCUUACCUGCUGUCCAGGGUGCCCAUCCUGUCUUCCCAGCUGAACCUGCAAAGUUGGGGACGUCCAUCUCCCCAUCUGCAGAGAGUUUGCCCAUUCCUAAAAGUCUUGAUGAUCUUCUGCAUGUGGCUAUUGAGGAGUUACCAUGACGAUUCCAUCUUGCAAUAUAGUCUCAUCUUCAAAUUUGAGACUCUUUCUGGAAAAAUGUUAUUUCCUCAUCUAUCUGGUAAAUGCAAUAACUAAACUCUCAAGUGCUGUGAUUUCAACCCUGCUUCUUCAUUGGGCCUCGUGGAGACUCUUGAAAGCACCAAGGCUUAUUGCCAAGGAGAGGAAUUGCAGUCCAAGUUGCGCACAUAACUCCAAGCUUACUCUAACAACACCUUUGUUUUUCAAACACAUGCUCUAAGCUGGCAAAUGUUAUUUAGUUACCCUCCAUUAAGCACCUGACUCAGGCUUGCAGCCUGGAAAAAGUAACCUCAUGUUAGGCUUUGUGGAUUGCCUAAGAACCUGAUAUUCCUAAACUCCUGCUGCAACCGUCCCAGGGAGAUCUCAUGGCAGUGACAUAUGCCUAGAGCCAUAUAAAAAGGGGGCAUGGAACAAGAGCUGGACAUCACCAAGGGGGCUGUGCCCCUGUGAUAUGACAGAAAAGUGAAGGAGUGGCGUAAUACCUGUCCUUAUGUGGAGAUUAUGGGAAACACUUCCUUUCCAUUUAUCAUGACAUAACUUUCCUGUGGGGAUUAUAGCAUUUGUUGACAAUGAAAUGUAAUAGUAGGAAAUUAUCCGACGCAUUUUGAUAUGUCUAAGUGAUACUGAGCAGGUGGAAACAUGAACAAAAUCUUCCAUCUGCAAAAACAGAAGUCCUGUACUUGUCUUCUAUUGACAACCCUUUAUUAUUUAUAUUCUGCAAGGACAACAAGUAGAAAUGUCACAUCUAGGUCAGUGCUGAGAAAGCCAAGUCUUCUCACUGGGCAAAGAACAGAAUACUUGGCCAGUUUAAUGGGUAAGUGUAAUGUGUUAGAAAGAGUUUCAAGAGAGAUGAAAAGGGAGAGGAAUAGAGAUCAUGAGGCAAAAAUAUCAGGAAAGGAAGGUUGAUAUUCAUGGUUCAUCUUGGAAAGUGUAAAGAAAGUGUCUUUGAUUUAAUUUAGUGAGUGUGGAAGUGGUCUGUGGAAUUGAGACCUGAAGUUGCAUCUACCAGUUAAUUUAAAGCUCCUACACCAGGGAGUACAGCGCAGCACCUCGCAUACACAGCUUGCUCAGUAUCAAGAAUGAAUAUUAGACUGUAUUUACAUUUUUACAACCUUCUCAUCUCUCUCUUUGCUUUCAGCCCCAGAGAAAGUUACAACAGGGUGGAGAAUAUGCAAACAGGUGUUUCGAGGCCUAGAAGUGAAUAGCACUGGGUACCUGUUUUGAUUGCAGCAGACUGAACAGUGAUGUCUACAGCAUGCUUUGCAACAGAGCAGUGUGUUCACUGGUCAUGGCUUGGAGUACCAAUAUAUCAGUGGAGGCCAAAUAAAGUUAGGCCACCAUUUUGUUAAGCAGAUAUAUCAGCAUUCGGGGGCUUACAUCUCUCUCUGUUUAUCCUAGUAUGUGACAUUGCCACUGCAUAUCACCUUGCUCUAUAAAUCCCAAAGACAAAAUUCUGCUUUGUAAUAGGAAGCACCCUGGAUGUUCCCCAGAAUUAUUGCUAGAUAGUUUUCUCUGCUUCAGUUCCCACAAAUUCAGAGAUUAUACCUGCAGGAGAUUAUCACCAAGUGAUCUCUUCUUGGGGAGAUUAGAUAUUAGGAAAAAAUUACUUAAUAUGAGGGUGGUCAAAUACUUGAACAAAUUUUUUAGAAAGGAGGUUGAUUCCCCAUGCCUACCAGUGUUCAAAGGACAUUUUGAUAAUCAUAGAAUCAUAGAAUGGCCUAGAUUGAAAAGGACCAUAAUAAUAAUCUACUUUCAAUCCCCUUGCUGUGCGCAGGGUGUCCAAACACUGGACCAGGUUGCCCAGAGCCACAUCCAGCCCGGACUUGAAUGCCUCCAGGGAUGGGGUAUCCACAACCUCCUUGGGCAACCUGUUUCAGUGCAUCACCACCCUCUGUGUGAAAAACUUCCUCCUAAUAUCUAACCUAAACCUCCCCUGUCUCAGUUUAAAACCAUUCCCCCUGUCCUAUCACUAUCAACCCAUGUAAGCAGUCAUUCCCACUCCUGUUUAUACCCUCCCUUCAAGUACUGGAAGGCCACAGUGAGGUCUCCCCACAGUCUUCUCCUCUUCAAGAUAAAUAAGCCCAGUUCUCUCAACCUUUCUUCACAGGCAAGGUCUCUGUGAGACCUCCAGCCCUCUGAUCACCUUAGUGGCCCUCCUGUGGACCCGUUCCAAGAGUUCCACAUCUUUCUUUUGCUGGGGGCCCCAGACCUGGACACAGCACUCCAGAUGGUUCCUCACAAGAGCUAAGUAGAGGGGGACAAUCACUUCCCUCUCCCUGCUGGCCACUCCUUUUUUACUGCAGCCCAGAACAUAGUUGGCCUUCCAGGCUGCAAGCGCGUACUGCUGGCUUAUGUCAAACUUCUCAUCCACCAGGACCCCCAGGUCCUUUGCAGGGCUGCUCUCAAGGGGUUCUUCUCCCAGUUUGUAUGAAUACCUGGGAUUUCUCUCGCCGAAGUGCAACAUCUUGCACUUGGCCUUAUUGAACCUCAUUAGGUUCUCAUGGUCCCACUUCUCCAGCCUGUCCAGGUCUCUCUGGAUGGCUUUCCUUCCCUCCAAUGUAUUGACUGCACCACUCAUCAUUAAGUUAACGAACUGCUACAAAUAUCGCAGCCUUUGCAAGCAUGAUUUAUUCUUUCCUAACUGCAAACUUUCUUGUGCAGUCUGAGAUAUAUGCAGUAUAUAUAGAGCUUUUCCUAUAAUUACAACUGUAUGGGCUGAAAGUACAGAACUAGAGAUUAUAGUGCUACUUCUUCAAAGGACAGGGUAUUAGCUUUCUCUCUGUAGACUCUGGUUGCACAGUUGAGUGUCACAUCACAAUUUAAUAGCCCUACUGAAGUUCAUCGUGUUUUAAACACCUAAAAUAAUAUCUUUACAUGAGUAUGAACAUAAAGUGAGCCACAGUUUUUCUGGCACUGCUCACCCAAGGAGACAUAUCUCUUCAGGAUUCCAAUGUGCACCCAGUGUAUUAAGGGUGCGUAUUUCCCUGUGAAAGUGAAACUAGACAGAAUGCUGUUCAAAGAAUAAAGAGAGGUGACAUCAUUCUAUUCGCCUACUAAAUUAGAAGUUUACUCAUUCGCCUUCAUGUCUCAGCUGACCCGAUCUGGAUUUUAACCAGCAAGUAAACAAGUCCCAUUAACAACACUAUUCAACACCACUUCUAGCAAGAUUCCAAUAUGCCUGCAGUUAAACAUUAUUUCAGACAACCAGUGUCCAGUCACUGACUUAAAAACUGUUUUUUUGCAUUUGCCACUUGGAUAAGCAGAAGGACAAAUAAAAAUCUUAUGAAGAAAAAGAAAGACAGCUGCGAAGGGUGCAAUUGGAUCAACUUCAGAAUAAGUCUGUGGAACAGAGUGGCAUUUGCAAAGGCACUGAAGCUCUCUCAUGGCAUCAGGAUGGUGGUGGUGACAGAGCCAUCUGUCCUGUCUUUUUUGCCCUUUCCUGUCUGCCAUUAAUUUUCCAUGAAGGCUCCAAGCGACAGUCUCCUCAUAGUGACCAUACUUGGAAACAAGGUGUAUGACAGGCAGGGGGAGAAUGACAACAAUCCCCACGAGCCCCCUUGUUACAGCUUGGGAAAAAAUAGCUGAGAGUUUGUAAAGUAGUGAAGAAGAGGUGAAAACUGAGGAGAUCUGCUGACAGGAGGAUUCAACAGGCACGCAAUCCCUUGUUACGUGUGCCUUUGAAUUGUGGUGCGGGAAUGGAGGCGUGCUUCUUGUGCACACGCUGCCGACAGUAAACAAGGGAGUAUUUCUGCAGCAGCUGUGUAUUUUCUAGGUUUUCUCCCAGAUCCUCACACCAAGCAGAAGAGUUACAACUCCCAUGUAGUGAUCACCACAGAGGACGUUGAUGGCUUGAUGGCUUGGGCACGUGGCAGCUGUAUAAGAGGGCAAAGAUUGAUGGUUGUAUGGGAGCUCCUGAAUCACGGCCUGAACAUCUGACUGAUCAGCUGAGGCAAGCAGAGUCAGCCAUGGGAGCACAGGUGAAGUCAAUUCACCUGUGUGACCAGAAGGGGUGGAGCCUGGCUGCACCUCUCCUUGACCUCCCAUAGAAGGGCUGAGUACAAUGGGGGAAGGGUUUUUUUCUAGAGAUUGCUAUUCUUGGAGUUUUUCCUGUGAGCCUACAACAUGGGUGAGCAUUUUCCAGUUAUUUCCAACGAUAAUCUUUCUAGUUAUACUAUCUGUGGAUAGCAAUCUGACCACACUACUCAGUAUAUUUGUUGACUAUACAAUGGUGUUAUCUUGCCUCAUCUACUUCACUCCUCUGGAAGAUUCUGGAAAAACUUAGGUUUCCAUCCGGAAAGUAUGACCCUGCUUGACUCACGCCCAGGAUUCAUUUAGAUGACAUACUUAAAAACCUGCAGAAAACUCAGAUCUGAAUUCAAGACUGGGGAGUGAUGAGAGUGAAGUUUUGUUCACAGCUAAUGUCUGGAGAUGCCAGUGACUAGGUAGCUUUGUAGAAAGUGUCAAUGCAGAAUACUAAACUAAGGCUGACUGUUCUGCCUAUGUUAAGGCAGGCUGUCCUUUGAACUCUGUUUCAACUUUUUACAGGUACACAAGAGAUUUGGGCUGAAUCAAAGUAAUCUGGCUUACUCACGAUGUCCUCUUGCAAAGAGCUGACUACUGAAACAUUGCUUGACUACUGAAAGUUAAGGUGUUCUAAUUUUCCUCUAUUAAUUUUUAAAAUUCAGUCUAUUUUCAAUUUUCCUCUAUUUAUUGAUGCUAGAAUGAACACGGGCCAGCAGUGUGCCCAGGUGGCCAAGAAGGCCAAGGGCAUCCUGGCUUGCAUCAGAUGCAGUGUUGCCAGCGGGAACAGAGAAGUAAUUGUCCCCCUGUACUCAGCCCUGGUGAGGCCGCACCUCGAGUACUGUGUCCGGUUUUGGGCCCCUCACUGCAAGUAAGACGUUGAGGCCCUGGAGCGUGUUCAAAGAAGGGCAACAAAGCUGGUGAGGGGUCUGGAGCACAGGCCUACGGGGAGCGGCUGAGGGAGCUGGGAUCGUUCAGUCUGGAGAAGA
ensembl:lncRNA